AUUGAACGCUGGCGGCAGGCCUAACACAUGCAAGUCGAGCGGUAGAGAGGUGCUUGCAUCUCUUGAGAGCGGCGGACGGGUGAGUAAUGCCUAGGAAUCUGCCUAGUGGUGGGGGAUAACGUUCGGAAACGGACGCUAAUACCGCAUACGUCCUACGGGAGAAAGCGGGGGGAUCUUCGGACCUCGCGCCAUUAGAUGAGCCUAGGUCGGAUUAGCUAGUUGGUGAGGUAAUGGCUCACCAAGGCGACGAUCCGUAACUGGUCUGAGAGGAUGAUCAGCCACACUGGAACUGAGACACGGUCCAGACUCCUACGGGAGGCAGCAGUGGGGAAUAUUGGACAAUGGGCGCAAGCCUGAUCCAGCCAUGCCGCGUGUGUG
rnacentral:rRNA from 1 species